rnacentral:lncRNA from 1 species
CCCCUCUGCGCACAGCCAGCCAGACACCCACACAGCGGCAGGCGGGGCAGGGCGGCGAGAAGGCCGGGAAAUGCGGGAGGCCGGCGCACCAGCCAGACGUGUGAAGAGGACACACAGGCGUGUGUAGGGAAUGACACACGGACGCGAGCGGGGAGCCACUGACACGUGCAAAGAAGGGUAGACAAACGAGGUAUCAGGGAAGGACAGCCAGAGACUAGGCUGGGCAUUUGAGCAGGGGACCCCUGUCGCAGGAAAAGAGCAAAGGGCAGGAUGGAGAGGGGAACUCAGCGUGGAUGGGUCGCUGGAAGGGGCAGGCGAGCCUGGCAGGGCUUCCCGCCCGCAGUUACUGGCAGGAUCUGAUUCAGGAUCCCACAUUGCUCAUAGCUGUUGUGUUUCCUCAGACUCUUCCAAUUUGCGACAGUUCCUGAUUCUCUCCUUGCUCUCUUGGCCUCUGUACCGUAUUGACUGGAUGACUGUUGCUUUAUAAGAAGUUUUGGAAUCAGAUAAUGUAAGUCCUUUAGCUUUGUUCUCCUUUCUCAAAGCUGUUUGGCUCUUAACUGCAUUCUUUGGAUUUUUAUGUGAAUGUUGGAAUCAGCUUGUCAAUUUAUACAAAAAAGCCAGUUAGGAUUUUGAUUGUGAUUGGGUUGAAUCUACAGAUCAAUUUGGAGAGAAUUUAUAUUUGAAUAAUUCUGAGACUUCCAAUUCAUGAACAUGGUAGAUCUCCCCGUUUGUUUACACCUUCUUUGAUUCCUUUCAUUACUAUUUUGUAGUUUUCAGCAUACAGGUCCUGUACACAUUUUGUUAGAGUGUAACUAAGAAUUUCACUUUUAAAAAUGGCAUCUCUCCAUGUUUAACACUUUGUCUCUCUUGACCCAUCACUUAUAUGUAUUUGCUAGUGAGUCUUCACUUACUAUAGAUUGCUUAUUAUAAAGGAAAUUUUUAAAUCUUGCAGAAGACAAAGGAUUUCAUAAAGUUGCUAGGAGUGUUGUUGGAGAAUGACUCAAAUCUAUGAAGUCAGUGACAAAGGAAGAUCCAGAUGAGUUGGGCAAAUUAACAAAAAGAGUAUUGACAAGGAAGAUAAAAUUUGACUUUGAAGAGGGAACGAUUUAAAUAUCAGAGGAUUGCAAGAAGACUUUGGGAAAACUAAUGAGCCUGGAAUAUUUGUAUAAAAAUUCUCUUUGUGUAAAUCAAAGAUAAAAUACAAGGAAGCUACUUUAUAUUCCUGUAUAUAUAUGUUGGGAAAAUAUCAACACUUGAAUUUUUCUUUCUUUAAGAGUUAGAAAAUGUUUGCAGUAAAAAUAAAAACUUUCUU